rnacentral:rRNA from 1 species
GACGAACGCUGGCGGCGUGCCUAAUACAUGCCAGUAGAACGCACAGUUUAUACCGUAGCUUGCUACACCAUAAACUGUGAGUUGCGAACGGGUGAGUAACGCGUAGGUAACCUGCCUGGUAGCGGGGGAUAACUAUUGGAAACGAUAGCUAAUACCGCAUAAUAUUGAUUAUUGCAUGAUAAUUGAUUGAAAGAUGCUAUUGCAUCACUACCAGAUGGACCUGCGUUGUAUUAGCUAGUAGGUGAGGUAACGGCUCACCUAGGCGACGAUACAUAGCCGACCUGAGAGGGUGAUCGGCCACACUGGGACUGAGACACGGCCCAGACUCCUACGGGAGGCAGCAGUAGGGAAUCUUCGGCAAUGGACGAAAGUCUGACCGAGCAACGCCGCGUGAGUGAAGAAGGUUUUCGGAUCGUAAAGCUCUGUUGUAAGAGAAGAACGGGUGUGAGAGUGGAAAGUUCACACUGUGACGGUAUCUUACCAGAAAGGGACGGCUAACUACGUG